CUCUUGGGCCAAAAUCAGCCCAGCCAUCGCCGGCCGUCCGAUCUUAGGUUUUCGAUCGGACGGCCGGGCACCUCUUUCGGGGUAACAAAAACCCCAAGCCGCCAAAGACGCCGUCCGAAACCCUAGCCGCUUGCUGGCCGGAACCCUAGCCACGGCGGCACGGCACGGCGGCAGGGCGGCACGGCGCGGCGGCGCCGUCGCACCCCCCUUUGCCGGCGCGCGCACUCACCCGAGAGUGAGUGCGCCGCCGUCGAGCGGCUGUGCAGCGGCGCCCGGCAAGCCGGCGGCGCGGCGCCGCCCCCUCUUUUCUCUCCCGCGUCGGCGUGAGGACGACCGGUGGUGGCAUGACUCCCGCGCGCGUCGGCGGCGGCCGGCGGCGGCGGUAGGCAUCUUCGACGCGAAUGAGAACAUUCAGUUGCCGCAAGCGCCAUCGCAUCACCGAGCCGCCCCCAUCGAUGCGUCUAGGGGAGUACUAUCAGAUGACCUAAUUUAACCUGGUUUUGUAAGUUUGGGUUUUUGGUAAAUAUGAGAGACCAAAAGUGAACUUAUUGCAAGCCUGAAUGAUAUAUUACUUGGGCCGGAUUAAGUUGCUGUUAUCAAGUCUGUCAAAAUUGUAUGAUUUAGGCCUUUAUAAAAAUUAAGACCCAAAUUGUAAGAAGCAUUAGUUCCUCUUGCUAAGGCCCAAACCAACUACAGAUCAUGCAAUCCACAUCCAGAUGAGAAAACAUACACACUCGAAUUUAGGCCCAACUUGAAUUUUGUUAUUUCUUUCUUUUUUCAUGUAAUGGAGUUUUUCUUCUUUCUUUGAAGAGAGAGAGAGAGGUGGAAAGGUCUAAAAAUGGGCCAUGAGAGAGAGAGACAGAGAGAGAGAGAGAGAGAGAGAGAGAGAGAGGUGGAAAGGUCUAAAAAUGGGCCAUGGUGGUAGGUGUGUGUGAAGGAAGUAUUUUUCCCCAGCUACAGUUUGGUCGAUAUGUACUUUUUAACGAACUUUUGCAAAAGUGAGAUGGCUUUUAGGAGU